AGAAGAAAUUCCUUUGGAUUUUCAUGGGGGAGCAACCAAGAAGAGUUCUUCAGAAACUCAGAUUUAAAAAUUCCUUUUCUAGAGAAUUAAAAUAUAUUAAUAACAAGAUUUGACUUUAGAUAAAUGUCACACUCCAGUAAAGAGACUUUAAGAAUUACUCAGUAAUCAAACCAUGUGAAUUCAAUGGUCUACACGCUUGGAAUCUUAAGAAAUUGCUGUGAUGACAUUGGCUGCCUCGGUUUUAGGAACUGCCAGAAAUAGCCACUAACCAAGAGAAAGAGAGCAAGGACUAGCCCUGAAUAAUUGGUCAACGAUGCUGAUUUCGUUGGUUUCCUGUUCCUUUUGCUUCCUGAAAAAUACAGACCUACAAAGCAA
rnacentral:lncRNA from 1 species